rnacentral:rRNA from 1 species
CCCUUAGAUGUUCUGGGCCGCACGCGUGCUACACUGAGUAAAUCAAUGGGUAAGGGAACACGAAAAUGCAACCUAAUCUUGAAAUUUGCUCGUGAUGGGGAUCGACGGUUGCAAUUUUCCGUCGUGAACGAGGAAUACCUUGUAGGCGCGUGUCAUCAUCACGCGCCGAAUACGUCCCUGCCCUUUGUACACACCGCCCGUCGCUCCUACCGAUUGAGUGAUCCGGUGAGGCUCUGGGACCUGGACGGAAAGAGCGUUUCGCUUGUUCUGUUUGGGAAACUUGGUCGAACCUUAUCAUUUAGAGGAAGGAGAAGUCGUAACA